UCAAAUAUCCUUUUUAUACGCCCGUCUAUGACGGGACGUAUUAUGGUAUACCCCGCGUCCGUCUGUCCGUCCGUCCGUCUGUCCGUCCGUAUGUCUGUUAAUGUCGUACGCUACGUCAAAUAUCCUUUGACAGAUUUUCUUCAAAUUUUAACACAAUCUUAAUAUUGAUAAACCCUGAUCCCCUUUCGUUUUUGACGGAAUUCUGAAUUGUCGUUCCAGAGUUAUGGGACUUUGUUCGUCAAAAUUUCGUGAUUUCAUUGAAUGUCCUACUGUAGCUAUAUAAAAAUGUUAAAGUUGUUAUAACUUUGGUAUGCUUGGACCUAGAGUCUUGAAACUUGACAUGAAGGUUGGCCAGAACUAGUAAGUAACCACUGGACAUUUCAAGGUCAUUCAUUUGAAGGUCAAGGUCACUGUGACCUUGAAUGUAAAAAUGUUAAAGUUCUUAUUUCAUGUUAUAACUUUGGUAUGCUUGUACCUAGAGUCUUCAAACUUGAAAUAAAGAUUGGCCAGUACUAGAAGAUGACCACUGGUCAUUUCAAUGUCAUUCAUUUGAAGGUCAAGGUCACUGUGACCUUAAAUGUUAAAAUGUUAAAAUUGUUAUAACUUUGGUAUGCUUGGACAUAGAGUCUUCAAACUUGACAUGAAGGUUUGCAAGCACACUUAGAUGACCACUGGUCAUUUCAAGGUCAUUCAUUCUAAGGUCAAGGUCACACAAGGUCACUGUGACCUUAAAUGUUAAAAUGUUAAAAUUGUUAUAACUUUGGUAUGCUUGGACAUAGAGUCUUCAAACUUGACAUGAAGGUUUGCAAGCACACUUAGAUGACCACUGGUCAUUUCAAGGUCAUUCAUUCUAAGGUCAAGGUCACUGUGACCUUAAAUGUUAUUGUUGUUCAUGUAUCCUACCGUAGCUCAAAUAUCCCCCGAUGGAUUUUUUAUACGCCCGUCUAUGACGGGACGUAUUAUGGUAUACCCCGCGUCCGUCUGUCCGUCCGUCCGUCCGUCCGUCCGUCCGUCCGUCUGUUAAUGUCGUACGCUACGUCAAAUAUCCUUUGACAGAUUUUCUUCAAAUUUUAACACAAUCUUAAUAUUGAUAAACCCUGAUCCCCUUUCGUUUUUGACGGAAUUCUGAAUUGUCGUUCCAGAGUUAUGGGACUUUGUUCGUCAAAAUUUCGUGAUUUCAUUGAAUGUCCUACUGUAGCUCAAAUAUCCUUCGAUGGAUUUUUUUCAAAUUUCAACACAAUCUUAAUAUUGAUAAACCCUGAUCCCCUUUCGUUUUUGACGGAAUUCUGAAUUGUCGUUCCAGAGUUAUGGGACUUUGUUCGUCAAAAUUUCGUGAUUUCCAUGCUCAUGUACUUAUAAAAUAAACCAUGUAUUCAAAUACAAAUAAACUGAAGUAAAAAAAUGA